CCUACGGGAGGCAGCAGUGGGGAAUAUUGCACAAUGGGGGAAACCCUGAUGCAGCGACGCCGCGUGAGUGAAGAAGUACUUCGUUAUGUAAAGCUCUAUCAGCAGGGAAGAAAAUGACGGUACCUGAGUAAGCAGCCCCGGCUACCUACGUGCCAGCAGCCGCGGUCUUACGUAGGGGGCAAGCGUUAUCCGGAUUUACUGGGUGUAAAGGGGGCGUAGACGGCAGUGCAAGUCUGGAGUGAAAGGCGGGGGCUCAACCCCCGGACUGCUCUGGAAACUGUGCGGCUGGAGUGCAGGAGAGGUAGGUGGAAUUCCUGGUGUAGCGGUGAAAUGCGUAGAUAUUAGGAGGAACACCGGUGGCGAAGGCGGCUUACUGGACUGUAACUGACGUUGAGGCUCGAAAGCGUGGGGAGCAAACAGGAUUAGAUACCCGGGUAGUC
rnacentral:rRNA from 1 species